rnacentral:rRNA from 1 species
GACGAACGCUGGCGGCGUGCCUAAUACAUGCAAGUUGAGCGAUGAAGAUUGGUGCUUGCACCAAUUUGAAGAGCAGCGAACGGGUGAGUAACGCGUGGGGAAUCUGCCUUUGAGCGGGGGACAACAUUUGGAAACGAAUGCUAAUACCGCAUAACAACUUUAAACAUACGUUUUAAGUUUGAAAGAUGCAAUUGCAUCACUCAAAGAUGAUCCCGCGUUGUAUUAGCUAGUUGGUGAGGUAAAGGCUCACCAAGGCGAUGAUACAUAGCCGACCUGAGAGGGUGAUCGGCCAAAUUGGGACUGAGACCAGGCCCAAACUCCUACGGGAGGCAGCAGUAGGGAAACUUCGGCAAUGGACGAAAGUCUGACCGAGAAACGCCGCGUGAGUGAAGAAGGUUUUCGGAUCGUAAAACUCUGUUGGUAGAGAAGAACGUUGGUGAGAGUGGAAAGCUCAUCAAGUGACGGUAACUACCCAGAAAGGGACGGCUAACUACGUG